GAUGAACGCUGGCGGCGUGCCUAAUACAUGCAAGUCGAGCGAACAGACGGGGAGCUUGCUCCUUUGACGUUAGCGGCGGACGGGUGAGUAACACGUGGGUAACCUACCUAUAAGACUGGGAUAACUUCGGGAAACCGGAGCUAAUACCGGAUAAUAUUUCGAACCGCAUGGUUCGAUAGUGAAAGAUGGCUCUGCUAUCACUUAUAGAUGGACCUGCGCCGUAUUAGCUAGUUGGUAAGGUAACGGCUUACCAAGGCAACGAUACGUAGCCGACCUGAGAGGGGGAUCGGCCACACGGGAACGGAAACACGGUCCAGACUCCUACGGGAGGCAGCAGUCGGGAAUCUGCCGCAGUGGGCGAAAGCCUGACGGAGCAACGCCGCGUGAGUGAUGAAGGUCUUCGGAUCGUAAAACUCUGUUAUUAGGGAAGAACAAACGUGUAAGUAGCUGUGCACGUCUUGACGGUACCUAAUCAGAAAGCCACGGCUAACUACGUG
rnacentral:rRNA from 1 species